UAUUUGUGUCCCUUUUCCACAGGACCAUCAGUAUUGCUGUGUUCUAGUAUAAAGGCAUAAGGGUGGAAUCAAGAGAGCAGUUUGAUAGUAGCUAAAGCUGAAACUUCUCUGAUAAUCCUUUCAAACUAAUAUUUUAAAAAGGCCUCAAAAUGACAUGAGUCAAAAACCAAAAGCAAGACAGAGUGAAGGACUCUCUUGUUGAACUCAACUUAAAAGGUGACUUCUUUGAGCCUCAACUCUUUGCAUCUCUUCAUCUGGAAAAUAAGAGAAAAUACAAGAGCACUUCUGCUUGCCUCACAGGAUUUUUAUGAGGACCAGUAAUUAUAAUGUGGAGCAAGGUUGGAGGAGUGAACUACAACUGCUCUGUCACCAAAAAAUCUUCUGAGACAAAUAUUAAAAUGUCACCACAAAACAAAUACAGGAGUGAAAGAACCAGCAAAGAGACAGAUCAAAACAAAUUUCAAGAAAAGAAAAUAACCAAAAGGGCAAAGAACUGGAAAUCAAAGGGAUAUCUAUAGUUGGAAAAUGGCUGAAAAAAUUGUAGUAGAUUUAUAUAUAAUGGAAUAUCAUUGCCAUAAGGAAUGACAAACAAGAUAAUCACAAAAAAAUCUGGAACAACUUACAUGAUGUGAUGAAAAGUGAAAUGAGCAGAGCAAGUAAAAUGUUCUACAAAGUAGCAACAAUAAGGUAUGAUAAUCAAAUGUGAAUGACUUCAUUGUUAUCAACAAGGCAAAAAUCCAGAACAACUCGUCAUUAAAGAAUAUCUAACAUCUGAGAAAAAAGAAAAUCCAA
rnacentral:lncRNA from 1 species